rnacentral:rRNA from 1 species
GACGAACGCUGGCGGCGUGCCUAAUACAUGCAAGUCGAACGAAGCUGUUUUAACUGGUGCUUGCACCGACUUAAACAACUGAGUGGCGAACGGGUGAGUAACACGUGGGUAACCUGCCCCAAAGCGGGGGAUAACAUUUGGAAACAGAUGCUAAUACCGCAUAACCACAGAAACCACAUGGUUUCUGUGUCAAAGAUGGUUUCGGCUAUCACUUUGGGAUGGACCCGGGGCGUAUUGGCUAGUUGGUAAGGUAAUGGCUUACAAAGGCAAUGAUACGUAGCCGAGCUGAGAGGUUGAUCGGCCAAAUUGGGACUGAGACACGGCCCAAACUCCUACGGGAGGCAGCAGUAGGGAAUCUUCCACAAUGGACGAAAGUCUGAUGGAGCAACGCCGCGUGAGUGAAGAAGGUUUUCGGAUCGUAAAACUCUGUUGUCAGAGAAGAACGUGUGCGAGAGUAACUGUUCGUGCAGUGACGGUAUCUGGCCAGAAAGCCACGGCUAACUACGUGCCAGCAGCCUCGGUAA